AUCAGAAUAAAAAUGACAGGUAAAACCCUAGAUCAUCGUCGAAUUAGAAUUAUUUUGAUGGAGAAAAAAUGAGCUUGAUCUCUCAAAUACACCAUCAAUUAAAAUGAUCUACACUAGAACUACACUGAAUCUACAUCGAAAACUAAGAUCUACAUCUAAGCCACACCGAAAGUGAAAUAAAAUGGCAGCAAAAAAAAAAAAUACAAUUUGAUCUAAGAAAUAUCAUAGGGGUAAGAUCGGUUGAUAAUGGACCCUAAGAUCAAGCUGGAUCUGAGUUUUGAUACCAUGUUAACAAGCUCAAGGUAUGGCGGAUUGAUCUGAUGGUUCAUAAGAAGCGUCUAAAGAGAAAAAGAAAUAUUAUUGAGAGUGAAAAAUGAAUAACCGUCUUGACAAAAAUAUCUAGGUCUUAUAUUUUUAGAGACCCAGAUCUAUAGAGAAACCAUUAAUUACAGAAUAAGCUGAGCCCAAGAACUAGGUGAUUACAGAAUCAUUAAUUCAACAAAACUUUCAUGCCAAGAGCUAUGUGUUAGCUAGAUUGUAUCAAGCAUAUAUAGAUAAGUUUUACCACUCGUAACUAACUUCUUUUUGUAAGUUUUAAUAAUUAUGUUUUAUAGAAAACAAUUAUGGACUAAAAUGUAUUUAGUGAUCAUUUAUACAAAUGUAAUUAACUUCUUUUUUUUGUCUUUCAGUUACAAUAAUAGAAGGAACAAAAUAAAAAGGAAAGGUAGAGAAAUCAACGACCAUUAUUUUCUCUAACCUCCCCCUUCAUUCUCUUUCAAUUAUUGAUCAAAUACGAUAAUAGCAAUGAAAUCGUCUAUGCAAUUGUGAAACGAAAGGUAUAUUGUUUGACAUUUCAAUUGCGAAAAAGUGGCUUGGGUGAUUUUGAAAAAAGUUAGUUGUGUUCAAUUUUAUGUCCUUUGCUGUAAAUUUUCUGCUUCAUCACAUUUUCAUGUCCGAUUGAAAAUCAAAUUGAGCACAACUAACCUUUUUUUGAAAUCACCAAAAUCACUUUUUUGCAAUUGAAAGUGUUGAACGAUAUACCUUUCGUUUCACAAUUGCAUAGUCGAUUUCAUUGUCAUUAUCAUAUUUGUUCUCAAUAUUUUGUUAGAUAUGAGUACUAAUAAUCAAUACUUGAAAGAGAAUAAAUGGGAGGAUAGAGAAAAUAAUGGGCAUUGAUUUUUCUACCUUCC
rnacentral:lncRNA from 1 species